UACACACCGCCCGUCACACCAUGGGAGUCUGUUGCUCCAGAAGUGGCUUGCCUAACCGUGAGGAAGGCGGUCCUAAGGAGUGGCAGGUAACUGGGUG
rnacentral:rRNA from 1 species